UACGGAGGGUGCGAGCGUUAAUCGGAAUUACUGGGCGUAAAGCGUACGCAGGCGGUUGGUUAAGCGAGAUGUGAAAUCCCCGGGCUCAACCUGGGAACUGCAUUUCGAACUGGCCAACUAGAGUAUGAGAGAGGGUGGUAGAAUUUCAGGUGUAGCGGUGAAAUGCGUAGAUAUCUGAAGGAAUACCGAUGGCGAAGGCAGCCACCUGGUUCAAUACUGACGCUCAUGUACGAAAGCGUGGGGAGCAAACAGG
rnacentral:misc_RNA from 1 species